rfam:Ciona savignyi cont_55060, whole genome shotgun sequence.
GUUGGACUUUUAAUCCAAAGGCCAAGGUUUCAAGUCCCUUAUCGGGCU